AUAUCAUCGAUAAAAGAGUUUCAUUGAAGACAUGCCUUCUAAAAUUCUGCGGUUCGUUUCGAAGGAACAUCGGUAAAGAGCGGUCUUCAGCAGGCCCGAGGCAAACCAACCCGCCAGCUGUCGCUCCAGUCACCCGAGGAGACGUGCCCACCGAUCUUUCAAAGGCAUAUCGGAGACAAGCGGCUCAGGGAAGGGGAGUGUUUUAGCCUGGAAUGCGCCGUACUGGGUCACCCGAAACCUAGCAUCAAAUGGUUUCAUAAUGGACUCAGGAUUUCAGAGAGGUUAGGUGAACGAGAAAUACAAACCAGGGGCAAAAAACACACCCUCACCAUCCCCCAUGCCUUGCCAGAGGAUAAAGGCUUAUACAUUGUGAGAGCUGUGAAUACUGGAGGAGUAGCACAUUGUGGAGCCGAUGUGGUAGUAGAAGAAAAAUCAGCGGAAGAGAUUGAGAUCGAGGAGGCAGAGAUACGUGAAGAAAAGAGUGCUGCAAAGAAAGGCGAUAUUGUGAUCACACCUACUGGACAAAGUGCUGGAGACAAGGCAAAGCCUGGGACUAAAUCAGACAAGAUGCAAGCACCUUGG